AUGGAAUGAAGUCCGGUUUUUUCGUGCUCGUUGCUUCAAAAUUUGAAGUGUACUGCAUCGUGGUAAACAAACUAGUAAAAAAACGAUUCGCAAUUUUAAGAAACAGGAAUUUCAAGCGAUAUAAAACCGUUCCUUGACGAGUAUGAUGUUCGCAGGCAGGAAAGCUUCUCAGGUGCUGGAGUCGGUAAAUACGCAGAGGAUGGUCGCAAACAUUGGACCUUGUCCAAAUUAAACUAUCGGAUACUUUCCUAAAAAGAAGGAGAGGCAAGAAAACGCGUAAAAAUCUCCGGGAGCUAGUAGUCCGGUAGUAUUAAUAUCGCUGGCUGAAUAACCUGGUCUCUGAGUUUGUCGAGCUGAUCUUUGGGCCAGAUUUCCGCGUAUAUCGUCACUCUGUUCGUUGUCAUCAGCAGAGGGCAGACUCCUGCCCAGGUUUCAUUUGCGACACAUCACCUCCGGACUGUUACAGUUACACAACUUCCAACUUCUUAGAAGGAGUAACUGUUAUAUACCUACAUGUCUGCUGUUGGAAACUUUUGGUACCCAUGUUUCCGUAAGUGCUCCGUCGCCGAGCAACAAUAAGUGACGAGAAGGAGAUUUGAGCUACGGUGUUGGAUGGAUGGACGAAACGUUACAAGCCUUUGGGUGGUAGGAGAGUUUAUUAUCACUGCCUUCCAUCAGAUGCAUAAAACACAAGUGAAUGGCGAUUUGAUAAUCAACUUCCUGAAAGUUUGGAGCACAUCGAUUAGAUCCUGCUGUCAGGCUCAAACGAUUCCUCACGAAGCACUCGAUAGAAAAUCACUAAUGGUUCCCAGGCUACAACAGAAACCAUCACUGUCCGAAUAUUUGAUUUCGUUCAUUGAAGAUUGGAUAGCAAUGAAAAUGCAGAAAGGUAAGAAAAUAUUGAUGAAGGCUGCUGCUAAAAACUGUGCAACGUUAGUAAUGCUAUAAACGCCCAUUCAACUGGUCCCACUAAGAGAAAUGCGUGUAUCUCGCAAGCAGGCAGUGGUGGCUGCUGGAGUUCGUCAUUUGGAUAUAAUAACAACAUCAGAGAAUGUAAUAUAUGCCGAUUAGCGAUACCCAACUAUACUACCAAAAAACGUUGUUUUUUUUUCUAGAAAAUAAAAAUUGAAGAUGAAUAAAUUCCAAUGUUUGUAU